GACGAACGCUGGCGGCGUGCUUAACACAUGCAGGUCGAACGGAAAGGCCUGCUUUCCCUUGUGGAUUGCGGGUACUCGAGUGGCGAACGGGUGAGUAACACGUGAGUGAUCUGCCCCCAACUUGGGUAUAAGCCUGGGAAACUGGGUCUAAUUCCCGAUAGGACUGCAGGGUGGUGCCUGUGGUGGAAAACGAUUUUCUAGUGGUUGGGGAUGAGCUCGCGGCCUAUCAGCUUGUUGGUGGGGUAAUGGCCUACCAAGGCGGCGACGGGUAGCCGGCCUGAGAGGGUGGACGGCCACAUUGGGACUGAGAUACGGCCCAGACUCCUACGGGAGGCAGCAGUGGGGAAUAUUGCACAAUGGGCGGAAGCCUGAUGCAGCGACGCCGCGUGGGGGAUGACGGCCUUCGGGUUGUAAACUCCUUUCGACCGCGAGGAAGCCACCUGGUUGGGAGGGUGGUGACGGUAGUGGUAGAAGAAGCACCGGCUAACUACGUG
rnacentral:rRNA from 1 species